rnacentral:lncRNA from 1 species
CCUGUACCAACAUGUUUCCAGCAGCAUGGAAGAACUAGAUUCUAACUUUGGAUCAGUUCCUGUCCCAGAAGAUAAUUUGCUUAGUGUACUCGUAUUUACAAGACCUCAGCACUUUACAGAAAGGACCACAUCUUUCCUAAGAGCUAUAGUGCAUUUGUUACCAUGGCAUCAGAUUCCAAAGGGAAUCUGCUGGUUGCAGCUUGCACGUUACCACGAGCGAAUAAAACUGUGAUGUUAGGAAUGGAGAUGGCCCUCUUCUAUGCCACCUGGCCUACUUUUUCAAAACUUAUUCAAACUAGAGGCAAACUUUCAGCUUUGGGAGAACUUCUGCUUUGUUUGCUUCCUUCUGUCACUCCCGGUGGUUGCAGUCAUGAGUCGAAUCUCCAAGAGCUGACAUGAAGAAAAGAACUGGCGUAUCAGCAUCGUAAAAACAUUAAUGUCCUCUGUGCCACGUCUGAAGCGUGCGGAUGGAAUGCAAACAGAAAUAGAAUAUACAGAAAGUAGCAGGAGACUGUAUUUGCAUAGGUUGUUUCCUUGUUUAUUGUCUUUUGAUAUCUCCCAGCAUGAGCUCACUGUACAGCUUCAACUGUAAUCAGCAAAGCAGUUGCUACCUCUGUUACACAGAGAGAAAAAUACGGGGCAGUCGCUGCCCAGAGCAGCAAGAUCAGCCACACAAAGGCCAGAAGGCACCCAAAGUAUUUGUGGUGAUCUCUUAUCACUGCAAAUAAUCUCGGAUAGGACUUGUGGGGAGGAGCGUGCACAUUUUGUGCUGUUAGUAACAAAGCGUGCUGUAGACUUUUUGUUGCAAGAAAGAGAGCAGAGCACCAAGGACUAAAAGAACCAAAGAUGGGCACUGGGCACCAAAACCCCUGAAACAGACACUGCUGUCAGCCCUAUUGCAUGGGCAGGAACAAAAGCCAGGGAUGCUGUGGUCCAACCAGAAACAAGAUCUCAUGAUUGCUGAAUGUUUUGCAGAUGACUUCCCACAGUAAAACCAGCAGAUCAGAGACAGGUUGGCUUAGAAGUCUUCCUAUAAUGCACUGAUAUUUACUGAUAGUAACCUGUAACUCCAUCCUUGCUGCAGUUGUAUUAGCAUGCUUCCACUCAUUAUUAGCAUUGCUUGAGCUCAGUAGAUGAUCUCAAUGCUGUAGCCAAUGCAGGAGCAGCACCAGCUCACAACAAAAGACAGCAAACAAAAUGAAGCUGAUCCAGUGGGAGGGCAACUGGCUGGGGCUGCGUUUCCACCAGGUCAAGCAAGGUUCCAGCUGCAGAGUGGAACCAAUGCACCCAGCACUGCCUUCCCACUCCUGAUGUGACUGAUGGUGAAAGAACAGCACUGGAGAGCAACCAGCAAAUGUCCUGAUGAUUUAAGAUGGUCUGAACUACUGAAUGCUAAAUAAAUACAUGCGUCACCGAAUCCUAGUUUUAAAC